UUUUUUCUAUGUUCUAUAACUAUUUCUAAAAGAUAAUUUUGUUUAUUCAGUCUAAAAUAUGUGCUCUGUUUUCUCUUUUUACAUGGAAAGAUAAAACCCCUCAGGUAACAGCUACACUUCUUUUCUUCUUUCCGACAUAUGUGCUAAUGAUAUGCAUGUGUACUGUACAUAUAAUAUACAUAUGUAACAAUAGCAUUAUAUGCUUUAAAAAUAUGACACUCAUGUAUAUUUCUUCUGCAGUGCGAUAAGAGCAAACAAUGCCAGGGUGAAGGCAAGGGUGAAGGCAAGGGUGAAGGCAAAGGUGAAGGCAAGGGAAAAGGACCAGGACAAGGGCAAGGCAAGGGCAAGGGUGAAGGCAAGGGUGAAGGCAAGGGAAAAGGACCAGGACAAGGGCAAGGUCAAGGCAAGGGUCAGGGUCAUGGUCACGGACACGGUCACGGACCUGGAAAGGAUGGAAAGGAUGGCAAAGGCAAACCAUAAUGACAAGGAGCUGAAUGAAGAGACGUCUGAAGUCUGUCUGAUGCUGUUUUUUUCUUGCACCAUGACUAUAAACUAAAACAUGUAUAAUUAUACCACAUAUGUUUGUUUUUAAUUAAAUGAUCAUCAAUAAAGUGUUUGGUAUCAAAGAAUGGCUUUUAGAAUCGUUGACUCCUUAAGCUUUGAAAUUCCAAAUAUAAAACGAAAUGAAGUAGCUGUGGCAAGGUGUGCAAGUUUACACAGCAAGAAGGUGUAUAUGCUGAAACAAUGUUAAAUCAGGAAAUAAGACCUACUUGGUUUAUGAAUGUUAUCUUUUGUAAAGAAUACUGGUUAAGCAAUACAUGCAAGGUGUAGAUUCAACCAUUAAA
ensembl:lncRNA